UGAAGACACGUAAAGAAAACCCAUAGAUC
rnacentral:piRNA from 1 species